GACGAACGCUGGCGGCGUGCUUAACACAUGCAAGUCGAGCGGUAAGGCCCUUUCGGGGGUACACGAGCGGCGAACGGGUGAGUAACACGUGGGUGACCUGCCCUCAGCUCUGGGAUAAGCCUGGGAAACUGGGUCUAAUACUGGAUAUGACUCCACGGUGCAUGUCGUGGGGUGGAAAGCCUUGUGCGGCUGAGGAUGGGCCCGCGGCCUAUCAGCUUGUUGGUGGGGUGAUGGCCUACCAAGGCGACGACGGGUAGCCGGCCUGAGAGGGCGACCGGCCACACUGGGACUGAGACACGGCCCAGACUCCUACGGGAGGCAGCAGUGGGGAAUCUUGCGCAAUGGGCGAAAGCCUGACGCAGCGACGCCGCGUGAGGGAUGACGGCCUCGGUGUAAC
rnacentral:rRNA from 1 species